rnacentral:tRNA from 1 species
GCCGGAGUAGCCCAAUAGGUAGAGGCACCAGCUCGAGAGUCUGGCGAGUGAGGGUUCGACUCCCUCUUCCGGCA